ensembl:lncRNA
UUUUUUUGCUGUUGUUUAGCCCCACCUGUUUCCGUAUCUCGGCCUCCUCACAAGGUAUAUCAGCUGCUUCACACCGAGACCAUUUUCCUUUGCUCAGACGUACUCGCAGAUUUCGUCGUCUCAGAAUAUUUCACCUCCACAUCCAACACUGACAUUGCGUUUCUUCCAGAUGGCGGUCUCCAGGAUGCGGUCCGCCUGGGCGGCUCUCUGCAUCGCCGUGCUAGUGAUGUCAGGCUCUGCUGAAGGUGCUAGUUUGGUGACGUUAAAAGCGGCGAACACAGAACCGUCAUACUCUUAUGACUUAACCAUGGACGUCACCAACCGCAUCUACAGUGAUUCUCUCCUCAACCCUUACUCUGACGACUAUAAUAUGAUGUUUGGGGAAGUUAGCACUGCGCUCUACUCUGUCUACGGCUGCCCCACUUGCGACACACGCACAUUUUAUCAAGGUGUGACAGCCAUGACCUUCAGUGACAAGGCUGGAUCUGUGGUUGUUCAGGCCACCAUCAUGUUCUACUCAGACCAAACCAAUGCCAUGGUGAUCAAGUACCUAUUUCUGCAGGCCGUCAAUAGCAGAAAUGAAAUAAAUGGCCUGAGAAUCAACCCUGGAUUCACACAGGUGUCUUCACAAUCCACAAGCGUUUCCCAUCCAACCACCACUCCAACCACCACUCCAACCACCACUCCAACCACUACCCCAACCACUACUCCAACCACUACUCCAACCACUACUCGUCUAAUAACAUGUGACCCAUAUUAACCAAUCAUGAUGUCAUUCAGAUAAUUAUGUCAUGUCUUACCACUACUCCAACCACUACUCCAACCACUACUUCAACCACUAGUCCAACCACUACUCCAACCACUACUCCAACCCCUACUCCAACCACUACUUCAACCACUACUACAACCACUACUACAACCCCUACUCCAACCACUACUUCAACCACUACUCCAACCACUAUUCUAACUACUCGUACCACCACUCCUACAACAACUACAACCACUACUCUAGUCUAUUAAAACAGGGUGAACCCAUUCCUUUAACCGAUCUCCUGCCAUUACUAAAACUACUUAAUCAGAUUGUUUAAAAAAGAAAAAGAAAAAAAGAAACAGAUUGCAUGUAGUUAAUCAUAUGACAUGAUAUUAAAUUCAUAUUAAAACAGACGACACAUGAAACCCUUGAAAGGCUCGAUUAAAGUAUAAUAUUCUAUCAGUAAAGAGCAACCUUUUUUUCACACCUCCUGUGUUCAAACACCAUCUGAGUCACCGUCCAAUGGGCAAUCUGUAUUUUCUCUCCCAUUACCAUGGUAGAAAUGGGAUUUAGAAAUGUUCCGUUUUCUGAAGUCUAUACUUCAUAGCCUACCCAUUAACCUCCUACAACUACCUCACCUCUCAAUCACAAUACAUUUACAGAGUGGGAAUGAAAUAGUCCCUGCCCACGAGAUGUCAUGUGACCACAUGUCAAAAGGACAAUGUUAAAAUCACUUUUGUUUGUUCAGAAAUGACUUAAAUAUCUGAUAAUCACCUGACAUCUUAAGAGCAUGUGUUUGUUACUCCUUAACAAACUUUUAACAUCGAUCAUUGCUCUUGUAUUUCUUAUAUGAUUCAAGAACCUAUGUUGUAAACCUGCCUUCACAAUUUUUACAUCAUUCUUCCUCUAUUCAGUAUCUUUCUUCUUUCUUUUUUCUUUUCAUUAAUGUCAUUUUCAUUAAUCAUUAGAGGAAUAGAUGCAGAUUUGUCUACAAUGUCUCAAUGCCUGUUGUAAACAGCACAAAACUAAUAAAAUGGGAUUAUACAAGCUUGAAAUUUUU